rnacentral:rRNA from 1 species
GAUGAACGCUGGCGGCGUGCCUAAUACAUGCAAGUCGAGCGAACGGACGAGAAGCUUGCUUCUCUGAUGUUAGCGGCGGACGGGUGAGUAACACGUGGAUAUCCUACCUAUAAGACUGGGAUAACUUCGGGAAACCGUAGCUAAUACCGGAUAAUAUUUUGAACCGCAUGGUUCAAAAGUGAAAGACGGUCUUGCUGUCACUUAUAGAUGGAUCCGCGCUGCAUUAGCUAGUUGGUAAGGUAACGGCUUACCAAGGCAACGAUGCAUAGCCGACCUGAGAGGGUGAUCGGCCACACUGGAACUGAGACACGGUCCAGACUCCUACGGGAGGCAGCAGUAGGGAAUCUUCCGCAAUGGGCGAAAGCCUGACGGAGCAACGCCGCGUGAGUGAUGAAGGUCUUCGGAUCGUAAAACUCUGUUAUUAGGGAAGAACAUAUGUGUAAGUAACUGUGCACAUCUUGACGGUACCUAAUCAGAAAGCCACGGCUAACUACGUG